GACGGUUUGGCCGAGUGGUCUAAGGCGCCAGACUUAGGCUCUGGUCCGAAAUGGUCA
rnacentral:tRNA from 1 species